CAACGACGAUGAUGAUGAUGAUGAUGAUGACAAUAGUAAUAAUUUUUCAAUAUAUUGAUUUCAAAACACAGCAACAGAUUUUAAUGAAUAAUAUUAUAUAAUAGUUGAGUUUUGAACAAUUAGGAAGAAGGGGUAGGAGAAAUUAUUGAAUAGUAAUCUUUUCACAAAUGGACAAAGAAAUUAUUUUAUCAAGAAAAAAUAAUCAAUGCUUAAUACAUUCCUCUCUAUCAUUUUUGUUCUUUUUAUCUUAUUAUUUCCAAUAAAAAUAUAAAUCUGAGAGAGGGCUUUGUUUCAAUGUUGCCUUGAGUUGCACGAAUGGAGUGGGUAAAGAAAGUAAAUAAAAGAAAGUAUAAUAGAAUAAUGGGGUGGUGGAUAGGACCCAAAAUUGAUAAUGAUAAUAUUAGCUGCUAAACAAACAAGGUAGAAGAGGGGAGAUGUAAGGGAGAGGAGGAGAGGCAGAAGGGAAGAAGUCAGUUUGAACACCUACUUUGAACUUGAACUUAAUCUGAAAGCUGGGGUCAAAACAGGAAUAAUAGCAGUAUCUUAUUAAGAAAAGCAAUAAUAUAAGGGAUGGAGGAAAAGGAAGGGGGUGGAAAGAAGGAGCAGGAGUGAAACAAAGUAGAUUGAAGUUUUAUUCUAGAUUGAAUCCCCAUUUGGAAAGUAAUAUUGAAAUGUGGAGGUGAAUGGCAUGGGAGGGUUUCUAAUAGUUUUAGAAAUAAGUAAAUAGAAUUAUGUUUUAGCAGAGCAUAGUUUUCUUUAUUCCUUUUGUUUGUCUCUCCCUAACUGGAUUUGUUGAGAAGUUCAACAAUAGCUUGGAAAUGAGGCUCCCAGUUUUCUUCGCACAUCAGCUUGGCAGUUGAAGGCAGGAAUCGACUGCAAGUCAAACCCCACCUUCCUAUCCCACACCCCACCUCGUUUCACAAAGACUUGCAGAAAAACUCACUCAGCUAUUUACAAAUACAGUAACACCAUACAUACAUAUAUAUCCAUGUAAGUCUACUUACACACACACUCGCACACACAGAUUGAGAAAUACUUGCAGAAAUGCACAACACCUUGCUACAGUAGCAGCCUCCCACUGGCCGACACACAACUCCUCUCAAGCAUCAACACACAGUCACUCUCACACACUACUGCUGCAGCAGUUACAUUGGAAAUCUACACCAGGAUACACUUCUCCAGUCACAGCCAGCAACAAAGGAUUAAAACAAUGCAGGUUUAUUUUACCGUUGCAUCUGAAGUCUUCAUACUACAAAGUGGAAUAUGUUGAUGAAAAUAUGGUUUUCAUUUUCAUUUCUACAUGUUUCUUUGUGUGUGGACCUUAUUUAUCAUGUGAAAGAAGAAAGAAGUCCAGCUACAUACAUCGGCGACAUUGCAGCUGACUCUCAGCUACUGGGCAGUGUUUUACCUGGAGACAGCAGGCUGAUAGCAUUCAGCCUGUUGCAAAGAGUAGGUUCUCAACUGUUCAAUGUCACCAAAUCAGGAAAACUGUACACUGCUCAGAAACUGGAUGCAGAGACUUUGUGUACAUAUAAUAAAGAAUGUUUUAAAAUUGUCAAGGCUGCUGUCCGAAAAGCCAAGACUUUUAUGAGAAUUCUAAAAAUAAAAGUAAUAAUAGAAGAUGCCAAUGAUCAUCGGCCUGAGUUUCCUGGUAAAAGUAUUAACAUUGAAUUCUCAGAAAAUGAUCGCAAAGGAGCAAGAAAAUCGAUCCCUAAUGCCAUAGACAGAGAUGUAGGAAUUCUCAAUUCACAAAUUCAUUACCAACUUGAAAAGCUUCAAGAGGAACCAUUUUCAUUGUUUGUUUCGAAAAGAGCAGAUGGCAUAUCCACUCUUGAAAUUGUUUUAGAUCAGACACUAGACAGAGAAGUAAAAAGUAACUACCGCAUUCAACUUAUUGCUAGUGAUGGGGGUUCACCUACUCAAAGAAGUUCCUUGGUGGUUGAAAUUUCUAUCAAGGAUGAGAAUGACAACCGACCAAUUUUCUCCCAGAAAAUAUAUAAUAUUUCAAUUAGAAAUAUACCAAACAUUCAUUUGCCUGUUGCUGUUUUAUCUACAACAGAUCUUGAUCAAGGACAGAACAACAAAGUUACAUACUUCUUUAGUCCAAUGACUUCUGAUGUAGUGAAAAGUCAUUUUAGUUUGAAUAAGACUACAGGAGAGAUAUUUUUACAAAAACAUUACAACCUUGAUGAAAAACUUACAUAUAAAUUAUAUAUCGAAGCCAGAGAUGCAGGUAGCCCUCCUCUCAGUUCUAUGGCAACAGUUUUAGUAAAUGUUAUCAACCAACACAAUAAUCCUCCAACCAUUGAUAUAGAUUUUGUUUCAGCUCUAAGUGAUGACACAGCAACUAUCUCUGAAGAUAUCAAAGUUGGUAGUUUCAUUGCCUAUGUGAUGGUCACUGACAACGAUGUAGGACACAAUGGUCAGGUCAGCUGUGAUAUCAAACAUGAAAAAUUCAAGCUCUUAUCAAUGGGUUCUAAAGAGUAUAAAAUAGUAAUGAAAAGCCAAGUGGAUAGGGAGGCUGAGGACCACUAUGAUAUUACCUUGUCGUGUGAAGACAAAGGAUCCCCUUCUCGCAAAGUACAGAAAAGAUUUUUUCUACAAGUGAUGGAUGUUAAUGAUGUUCAACCACACUUUAUCUCAGAUUCUUUUAAAUUUCUGACAUUUGAAAAUGAGAAAGAUAAGUUCCCAGUAGGUUAUAUCAAUGCCACAGACCCAGAUCUAGGAUCUGGAGGUCAACUAACAUAUACUUUGUUUGGUUACAAUGGAGACUUCCUUCCCUUCCAAAUCACUGAUUCAGGAUUCAUAUCGACAUCCAUGUCACUUGACAGAGAAAAACAACAUAUUUAUGCGUUUAAAGUUUUAGUUAAAGAUAAAGGAAGACCAUCUCUGAAUAACACAGCAAAUAUCACCAUUGAAAUUUUAGAUGAAAAUGAUAAUGCCCCUUAUUUUACAUUUCCUAGUGUUAAUCCUUUUAGUCUUGAUGUCCACUAUCAUCCUCAAAGUAAUAACGACAUCACAGUUCUGAAAGCCUCUGACAGAGACAGCAGGGAAAAUGCUUUCUUGAGAUAUGAAAUUCUAAAAGGAAACAACAAUCGGUUAUUUGUAAUCAAUUCUUACACUGGCACUUUGUCUUUCUCUCGAAAAGUUUACCAAAAUGAUGCUGGAUCAUAUCAACUGCAGUUUAGGGUCAAAGACAGCGGUACUCCAGUUCUUUCAGCAUCAGUUACAAUAUCUUUGACCUUAACUGUUAGUAACAAGACAUCUCCAUCAUUAACUGCUGUUCAAAUACAAUCUGACAGUAUGAUUGAUGUAACGUGGGUAAUUAUAAUUGUAGUUUCAGCUGUGAUAAUAUCUGUGGCAAUUGUGAUUUCUAUAACGCUCUGUGUUGUCCGAUGCAAUAAUGGAAGAAAUGGCUCUGUGAGAGCUCGGGGAAACCCACCAUAUCAAUCUCGCACAGAAAUGAGACAGCUGAUCUAUCAAACUACUACUACCCCUAGCAGCAUGCACCCAGAAGAGAUGCUUAACAGAAAUAACCAGUCAAAUAGAUCUAGGAACCAAUUUCAGCCAGAAGAAGGACCACAAAUGGAAUGGAAAACAUCGACAAUUAUGAGAAGCCUCCCCAAAGUUUCUAAGAUUAUAAAAGGGGACUUCAACAACCUAAACAGGAAAACUCAGGAUUGAAACAACAUUUUUCUAACCAGGUAUAUUUAAUGGAGAGACAAAGAUUAACAUCCCCACAGUCCCAAGUUAUUAAUUUGAAUUCAACAGUUCCCACUUAACUAUAUCACCAGUUUCACAGCAAAAACAACUUCACAUGGAUAUUAGAAAAUAAUAUAAUUUUCACUAAAUGCAAAAGCAAUUUUAAACUGAAAAACCAUUGUUCAAUAACUGGAUAGAAUUGAAUGUUUGAAGAACUUGUUUGAACAUGCUAUGCAUUUUAUAUGAAAUGAACCUCAGCUUUGGAAAUUACACUUCUUCUAAAUGCUAUUUUUUCUGUUAAAUUUCUAUUUCUCAAAUAUUUAUAGAAAUGAAGUACAAAAACAAAAUCUAAAAACAAUUCUGUUUCUCUCCUGAAAGAAGACACGGAAACUGUUCGGCUUACAACUUAUUGAUAGACUAUUUCAGCCUGGAGCUAAAUGAAUUCUGGCUCUUUCUGAUAUUCCAUUGAGGUGCUUCAGUUAAAACAUAAAGUUUAAAAAGAAGAUUUUUGCACAUCGUGACAUCACACUGGAAACAACAAAUGAAAUUUAACAUUUAUGAAAAAACAAGAAGGUAUAUAUAUAUAAA
rnacentral:misc_RNA from 1 species